rnacentral:rRNA from 1 species
CCUACGGGGGGCUGCAGUGGGGAAUAUUGGACAAUGGGGGGAACCCUGAUCCAGCCAUGCCGCGUGUGUGAAGAAGGCCCUCGGGUUGUAAAGCACUUUCAGUGAGGAAGAACGCCUGGUGGUUAAUACCCAUCAGGAAAGACAUCACUCACAGAAGAAGCACCGGCUAACUCCGUGCCAGCAGCCGCGGUAAUACGGAGGGUGCGAGCGUUAAUCGGAAUUACUGGGCGUAAAGCGCGCGUAGGUGGCUGGAUAAGCCGGUUGUGAAAGCCCCGGGCUCAACCUGGGAACGGCAUCCGGAACUGUCAAGCUAGAGUGAAGGAGAGGAAGGUAGAAUUCCCGGUGUAGCGGUGAAAUGCGUAGAGAUCGGGAGGAAUACCAGUGGCGAAGGCGGCCUUCUGGACUGACACUGACACUGAGGUGCGAAAGCGUGGGUAGCAAACAGGAUUAGAUACCCGAGUAGUC